UGGAUUACUUUCGAGUAUGAAGGAUUCUAUCCAAACUUUGAAAUCUCUUUUGACUUUAUAUUUGAAAAUAUGCAUGCAUGUGCUUUCACGAAGUAGAGAGAAAUGAUAAAUGCUUUCAUUGGAGUUAGAACCAAGAACAUUAUAGGCAGCUGCUGCAAGCUUUGUUAUUACAAUUUUGACCUGACAUAUGAUGUGGAAAAU
rnacentral:lncRNA from 1 species